GACGAACGCUGGCGGCGUGCCUAACACAUGCAAGUCGAACGAGUGGCGGACUGGUGAGUGAUUUCUGGGAAACUGCCUGAUGGAGGGGGAUAACUGCUGGAAACGUUAGCUAAUACCGCAUAACAUCUGUUUGUCCCAGAUGGGAUUAGCUAGUAGGUGGGGUACAGGCUCACCUAGGCGACGAUCCCUAGCUGGUCUGAGAGGGUGACCAGCCACACUGGAUCUGAGACACGGUCCAGACUCCUACGGGAGGCAGCAGUGGGGAAUAGUGCACAAUGGGCGAAAGUCUGAUGGAGCCACGCCGCGUGUAUGAAGAAGGCUGUCGGGUUGGAAAGUACUUUCAGCGGGGAGGCGUUACCCGAAGAAGAAGCACCGGCUAACUCCGUGCCAGCAGCCGCGGUAAUAC
rnacentral:rRNA from 1 species